rnacentral:rRNA from 1 species
GACGAACGCUGGCGGCGUGCUUAACACAUGCAAGUCGAACGAUGAAGCUGGAGCUUGCUCCGGUGGAUUAGUGGCGAACGGGUGAGUAACACGUGAGCAAUCUGCCCUUGACUCUGGGAUAACUGCGGGAAACUGUAGCUAAUACCGGAUACUUUCGCUGGAAGGAAUCUUCUGGUGAAGAAAGAAUUUCGGUCAAGGAUGAGCUCGCGGCCUAUCAGCUUGUUGGUGAGGUAACGGCUCACCAAGGCGACGACGGGUAGCCGGCCUGAGAGGGUGACCGGCCGCACUGGGACUGAGACACGGCCCAGACUCCUACGGGAGGCAGCAGUGGGGAAUAUUGCACAAUGGGCGCAAGCCUGAUGCAGCAACGCCGCGUGAGGGAUGAAGGCCUUCGGGUUGUAAACCUCUUUUAGCAGGGAAGAAGCGAAAGUGACGGUACCUGCAGAAAAAGCACCGGCUAACUACGUGCCAGCCGCCGCCGUAA